GACGAACGCUGGCGGCGUGCUUAACACAUGCAAGUCGAACGGAAAGGCACUGCUUUUGUGGGGUGCUCGAGUGGCGAACGGGUGAGUAACAGGUGAGUAACCUGCCCUUGACUUUGGGAUAACUUCAGGAAAGUAGGCCUAAUACCGUAUAGGAGAUCCUGCUGCAUGGUGGGGGGUGGAAAGUUUCGGCGGUUGGGGAUGGACUCGCGGCUUAUCAGCUUGUUGGUGGGGUAGUGGCUUGCCAAGGCUUUGACGGGUAGCCGGCCUUAGAGGGUGACCGGCCACAUUGGGCCUGAGAUACGGACCAGACUCCUACGGGAGGCAGCAGUGGGGAAUCUUGCACAAUGGGCGGAAGCCUGAUGCAGCAACGCCGCGUGCGGGAUGCCGUCCUUCGGGUUGUAAACCGCUUUCGCUUGUGACGAAGCGUGAGUGACGGUAAUGGGUAAAGAAGCACCGGCUAACUACGUG
rnacentral:rRNA from 1 species